rnacentral:rRNA from 1 species
GAUGAACGCUGGCGGUAUGCUUAACACAUGCAAGUCGAACGGGGUGCAUAGUCACCUAGUGGCGGACGGGUGAGUAACGCGUGAGAAUCUGGCCUCAGGUCCGGGACAACCACGGGAAACGGUGGCUAAUACCGGAUGUGCCAUAUUGGUGAAAGAUUAAUUGCCUGAGGAUGAGCUCGCGUCUGAUUAGCUAGUUGGUGGGGUAAAGGCUUACCAAGGCGACGAUCAGUAACUGGUCUGAGAGGAUGACCAGUCACACUGGGACUGAGACACGGCCCAGACUCCUACGGGAGGCAGCAGGUGGGAAAUUUUCGCAAUGGGCGAAAGCCUGACUGAGCAAUACCGCGUGAGGGAGGAAGGCUCUUGGGUUGUAAACCUCUUUUCUCAGGGAAGAAGAAUGACGGUACCUGAGGAAUCAGCAUCGGCUAACUCCGUG